AUGAGGCAGGGUGGCAAUCCUACUCCUCGUCCGACGAGCUGGAUUCCUCCACCAUCAGGGUGGAUAAAACUGAAUGUAGACGUUGCUGUGGGGAGGGGAAGGAGACACGGUUCCGUAGCGGCAAUAUCAAGAGACUCUGCUGGCCUUUUUUUGGGAGCAUCGGCUGUGGUUUUUGAAGGCAUUUCCGAUCCGGCCACUCUUGAAUGCAUGGCGAUCAUGGAGGCGUUGGCCCUUGCGGAUGAUCUACAUGUCUCAACUAUACAAGUGGCGUCCGACUCGAAGGUGGUGGUCGAGGACAUCCGAGACAACAAUCCAACAGCAUAUGGUGCGAUCAUACAUGAAAUAAUAGAGCAUAGAUCAAAUUUCCUUUUGUGUAAUUUUUGCCACGAAUUUAGGAGCUCGAAUAUCGAGGCUCACAAGCUCGCGAAGCAUGCUUUAUCCCUUCCGACUGGCCGACAUGUUUGGUUGGGACAGCCGGACGGACUCUCUUUCGUCCAUGUAAACAUUGUGACGUCGUAA
rnacentral:rRNA from 1 species